rnacentral:rRNA from 1 species
CCGGUUGAUCCUGCCGGAGGCUACCGCUAUUGGAGUUCGAUUAAGCCAUGCGAGUCGCGAGUCUUAGGGACUCGGCGUACCGCUCAGUAACACGUGGGUAACCUGCCCUAUGCUGGGGGAUAACCUCGGGAAACUGAGAAUAAUACCCCAUAGUUCACCACGCCUGGAACGGUUGGUGGACCAAAGCUCCGGCGGCAUAGGAUGGGCCUGCGGCGUAUCAGGUUGUAGGGGGUGUAAUGUACCCUCUAGCCCUCUACGCGUACGGGUGUUGAGAGACAUCGCCCGGAGAUGGAUUCUGAGACACGAAUCCAGACCCUACGGGGUGCAGCAGGCGCGAAAACUUGGCAAUGCGAGAAAUCGUGACCAGGGAACUCCAAGUGCAUCGGGUAAGACCGAUGCUUUUCUUGACUCUUCAAAGGUCUUGGAAUAAGGGGUGGGUAAGGACGGUGCCAGCCGCCGCGGUAAUACCGGCGCCCCAAGUGGUAGUCGCUUUUAUUGGGCCUAAAACGUCCGUAGCCGGUCUGGUACAUUCGUGGGUAAAUCAACCAGCUCAACUGGUUGAAUUCUGCGAGCACGGCCAGACUUGGGACCGGGAGAGGUGUGGGGUACUCUCAGGGUAGGGGUAAAAUCCUGUCAUCCUGAGAGGACCACCUGUUGCGAAGGCGCCACACUAGAACGGAUCCGACGGUCAGGGACGAAGCCUAGGGGCACGAACCGGAUUAGAUACCCGGGUAGUCCUAGGUGUAAACGCUGUGGACUUGAUGUUGGGGGCGCUCCGAGCGCACUCAGUGUCGAAGCGAAGGUGAUAAGUCCACUGCCUGGGGAGUACGGUCGCAAGGCUGAAACUUAAAGGAAUUGGCGGGGGAGCACCGCAACCUGAGGAUUGUGCGGUUUAAUUGGAUCAACGCCGGG